CACCUUUGGCAAUGGCGAAGGGACACCUUGGUGGUACUGUUCUUAUAUCAGUCAGGAGCAGAGCAGAUGGCAGUCCAUUGUUCAUCCUAGCUUGAUAUCUGGGUUGGUGGCCAAAGCUGUCUUAUACCUAGGACUCAUAA